AAAUGAAUUGACGGGGGCCCGCACAAGCAGCGGAGCAUGUUGUUUAAUUCGACGCAACGCGAAGAACCUUACCAGGUCUUGACAUCCAGUAAAAACUGUAGAGAUACAGUGUGAGCUUGCUCAUACUGAGACAGGUGGUGCAUGGUUGUCGUCAGCUCGUGUCGUGAGAUGUUGGGUUAAGUCCCGCAACGAGCGCAACCCUUGUGAUUAGUUACUAACGCGUAAAGGCGAGGACUCUAAUAAGACUGCCGGGGACAACUCGGAGGAAGGUGGGGACGACGUCAAAUCAUCAUGCCCCUUAUGACCUGGGCUACAAACGUGCUACAAUGGCCACUACAGAGAGCUGCGAACUCGUAAGGGUAAGCGAAUCUCAUAAAAGUGGUCCCAGUUCGGAUUGUGGGCUGCAACCCGCCCACAUGAAGUCGGAGUUGCUAGUAAUCGCGGAUCAGCAUGCCGCGGUGAAUACGUUCCCGGGCCUUGCACACACCGCCCGU
rnacentral:rRNA from 1 species